GCUUCAGAGAGAGGCUUGUGCUCAGCGUGUAGCAGCCAAGAGUAGGGCCAGGGCCACAGACACCCAACCUCAUCUCCCAGCAGCACCCCAAGGCAGAAGGCAAUCCCAGCAGAAAUACAUCACAGGAGCAGCAGGCAUACAAGUCCCUGUCUGCAAGCCAGUGCAUUUUGAUAAGGAUUCCCAUGCACUUCAAUAAUGGAUGCAAGAGCAGCUCUGCUCCAACGCCACAACAAAACAAUUGGUGCUCUUCUUACUCCACCCCAAAAGUCACAACAAAGACCAACAUCAUGGCAAUAAGCGAGAGCUGGAUCCCCAGGAAAGCUCAGGAGCCCUGUGUUUCCCCCUUCCCUGCAGGCAGAAACAGUCAUUCCUCUCCAGCUCAUAACAGAGGCACCAAGAAGAGCCAGGAGCAGAGAGACAGAAAGAGUUAAGCAAAUGUAACAAGAGCGAGAGGGACAACAAAGAUCUGGCAUCCAGAAGAAUAGCACGAGCUGUGAAAGGAGAGGAGCCCCCACCCUCGGGCGCAGCAGCUGUGGCUUACUGGACCAGGAGAGUCCAUUGCCCUCCAGGGCUCCAUCUCAAAACCAUAGAUCAGGCUAACAUCAGCAAUUAGUAAUGAAGGACCUGGCCUAGCAUGCACCUUCACAUGGCAUUUCACUGCCUUCAGAGCACCUGCAGGAUGCAAUGCUCCAGGAGGACUGAACCUCGAUGUGUUUUCACAACAAAAGGGUAUACUCCUGGGAUCACUCACUAAUUGGAUAAAAGCAUCAGAACUACCCCAUU